AUUAAGUUAAGAGAAAAGAUCCAGGAAUCAGCCUUCUAUCAGGGUACCAUUCUGAGCAACUUCAGGGUAGGUCGUGGAGGACGGACUGUUCACACCAGUUAUGACUGAAAUACCUACAUUGUAUGGAGAUAGGAGUGUGGCGUGGACAGGAUCAGCAUGACAAAGUGUCAAGUGGUGGAGUUCUAUACAGAGAUGGCACUGAAGAUGGCUUUGAUGAAUAAAUGUUUUCAGUCUUACACGUCAAGGCUAACUUCUCUGGGAUUAACCAAGAUUCUGUAAUAACAAUGGAACGGUUACCAUCAGGAAGGCUGAUUACUAUGUUUUUUUUUUUUUUUUAAUAAAAGCUGUGAAGGCAUAAAAUACUUGCUUCAUCUUCAUCUGCAUUCUUAAACAAGGCGCAGAGUGUGACAUGAAAGAUCACAAAACAUCCUAUUGUUUUUUUUUCCCAUUCUUGAUUAUUUAGAAGAACAAGAACUAUAAAUGAUUUUUGUAGGAUUAAUUUAGCAUCUUAUGCUAAAGUUUUGGUGUAUGGAAAGCUUAACCUAACAGAAACAAUUAAACUGUGUACAAACAAUCAAGGUCACUUGUACUUUCUGGCAUGGCAGACAAAUUAUGCAACA